CUUGUGUGGUCUGCAGGGACACAGGGGCCUCCUCAGACGUUAGACGUGCCUGCUGGAAUCGAGAGCACAGGGCUCUGAAGCAACACAUCUGGCUGGGACGGCUGGUUCAGUGGUGGGGCAUCAUGGGGCUUCUGCCCAAAUACCCUGAGGCCCACGAGGUGAAGCGUAUCUCUCAGAUGUGGAGGGAAAUGGAGCACAGCCAUCAGAAAGCUUAUCUCGUGACACUUGGAUGGGAGGAGGGAGGAACGGAAAGAUGGAUCUCUUUCAUACAGGGUAUGGUGACUCAGCUGGACAAACAGCACGGGUGCAUUUGGACCUCUGAGGACUGCACAGACCAGUGC